UACGGAGGGUGCAAGCAUUGAUCGGAAUUACUGGGCGUAAAGGGCGCGCAGGCGGUCAGGAAAGUCAGAUGUGAAAUUCCGGGGCUCAACCCCGGAGCUGCAUUUGAAACUUCCUGACUAGAGUACAGUUAGGGAAAACGGAAUUCCACGUGUAGCGGUGAAAUGCGUAGAUAUGUGGAAGAACACCGGUGGCGAAAGCGGUUUUCUAGUUUAUACCUGACGCUGAGGCGCGAGAGCAAGGGGAGCAAACAGG
rnacentral:rRNA from 1 species